UCGAGAGCGGAUUGGUCGAACGUCACGCUGCUCUGUUCUCAGGCUUUCUGAAUGGGGAGACGGGCCAAUUAAACAUUGCAAGCUACCCUACCCAAACGCUUGAGACGUGAAGAAACAUCGAUGAACUGCUCGUAUUUUAAAGGAAUGCAAGCAUCCUUCCUUCAACGAGUUCAAGUGUAAUGUGGUUAGUCGCGCGCCAGCAUCUAGGACCCGAUUCAGCAAUAGAGGCACGGGCUCCACCAAAAGUGUCGACAAGACCUUCUCCAGGACCAGAAGUCUAUGCAAACAGGAUGGAAGGAUUCCUCGUAUCUCUGACACACUAGAGCCCUUGCUGUCACACUCCCAUCCUCCGUAUCGUGCUCACUCAUUAUCAAAGACAUCAGACCUAUUUGCAAUGAUCCAGAGGAUGCAGGUACUGUAAGUUGUCUGAGAUCUCUGCUGUAUACUAUACUCACUGCUUUGUCUUCUUUGUAGUUUCAAUUUGUUUUCCGUUUACUAUUCUUGUGGGUACUUCUGGUUAAACAUGUCCACACACACACACGCACGCACGCACACACAGACACACUAACCUUGUAGGGACACAAAAUUCAGUCCCAUUCAAAAUCCUAUAUUCCCUAAACCCUAACCCAUACCUUAACCCUAACCCAAAAACCUAACCUUAACCCUAAACCUAACCCUAGCUCCUAACAAUAAAACUAACCCUAGCUCCUAACCCUAAAUCUAAUUCUAACCCUAACACUAAUUCUAACCAUAAACCCCCUAGAAAUAGCAUUUGACCUUGUGGGGACUAAGAA
rnacentral:lncRNA from 1 species